GACGAACGCUGGCGGCGUGCUUAACACAUGCAAGUCGAACGGAAAGGCCCUGCUUUUGUUGCGUGCUCGAUUGGCGAACGGGUGAGUAACACGUGAGUAACCUGCCCUUUACUGUGGGAUAACUUCAGGAAACUGGGGCUAAUACCGGAUAGGAGCUCCUGCUGCAUGGGGUUGGUUGGAAAGUUUCGGCGGUUGGGGAUGGACUCGCGGCUUAUCAGCUUGUUGGUGGGGUAGUGGCUUACCAAGGCUUUGACGGGUAGCCGGCCUGAGAGGGUGACCGGCCACAUUGGGACUGAGAUACGGCCCAGAAUCCUACGGGAGGCAGCAGUGGGGAAUAUUGCACAAUGGGCGGAAGCCUGAUGCAGCAACGCCGCGUGCGGGAUGACGGCCUUCGGGUUGUAAACCGCUUUCGCCUGUGACGAAGCGUGAGUGACGGUAAUGGGUAAAGAAGCACCGGCUAACUACGUG
rnacentral:rRNA from 1 species